UACAGAGGUGGCAAGCGUUGUUCGGAAUUACUGGGCGUAAAGGGCGCGUAGGCGGUCUUGUAAGUCUUGUGUGAAAUCCCUCGGCUUAACUGAGGAACUGCACGGGAUACUGCGAGACUUGAGUUCGGGAGAGGGAAGCGGAAUUCCGGGUGUAGCGGUGAAAUGCGUAGAUAUCAUUUGGAACGCCAAUGGUGAAAACAGCUCGCUGGGGGUGUACUGACACUGAGACACGAAAGCCAGGGGAGCGAACGGG
rnacentral:rRNA from 1 species